rnacentral:rRNA from 1 species
CUCACAUCCGAGGCCUUGUAAUUGGAAUGAGUACACUUUAAAUCCUUUAACAAGGAUCAAUUGGAGGGCAAGUCUGGUGCCAGCAGCCGCGGUAAUUCCAGCUCCAAUAGCGUAUAUUAAAGUUGUUGCGGUUAAAACGUUCGUAGUUGAACUUGUGUUUCGCACGGGCAGUACCUAGGACUAGGCAACUAGGACGGUACUUUGUCUUAUCUUUCUCUUUCCUUAUCGGAUUGGGAAAAAGUGCGUGAACGUAUUAUCGGCGUGUUCGUUCUUGAACGUUCACAUAAGCUCAUUUCAGUGCUCUUAACCGAGUGUUGUUGUGGGCCGAUACAAAUUACUUUGAACAAAUUAGAGUGCUUAAAGCAGGCUUGUAAUGCCUGAAUAUUUUGUGCAUGGAAUAAUGAAAUAGGACAUCUGUUCUACUUUCAUUGGUUUUUUAGACCAAGAUGUAAUGAUUAAUGGAAGCAGUUGGGGGCAUUAGUAUUACAACGCGAGAGGUGAAAUUCUUAGACCGUUGUAAGACUGUCUAAAGCGAAAGCAUUUGCCAAAGAUGUUUUCAUUUAAUCAAGAACGAAAGUUAGAGGUUCGAAGGCGAUCAGAUACCGCCCUAGUUCUAACCAUAAACGAUGCCAGCUAGCAAUUGAGUGUAGCUACUACUAUGGCUCUUUCAGUCGCUUCUCGGGAAACCAAAGCUUUUGGGCUCCGGGGGAAGUAUGGUUGCAAAGCUGAAACUUAAAGGAAUUGACGGAAGGGCACCACCAGGAGUGGAGCCUGCGGCUUAAUUUGACUCAACACGGGAAAACUUACCAGGUCCGAACAUAAAUGAGUAAGACAGAUUGAUAGCUCUUUCUCGAAUCUAUGGGUGGUGGUGCA